GGUCAGUCUCCUGCCGUUAGGAUGUUAGCUGUAUGAAGCCUUUUGGCAGGCUGAGUAGUUUCCCUUCUAUUUGUAGUUUGCUGAGGUUUUUGUUGGUUUUUAAUCACAAUGGACAUUGAAUUUUGUUGAACGGUUUUUCUACGUCAGUUGAUAUGGUCAUAGGGUCUUUCUUAUUCAGCCUGUGGAUGUGGUGGAUUAUGCUGAUUGCUUUCUGAAUAUCACACCAACCUUCCGUUCCCGAAUAAUCCUGCUGGGUCAGAACCUGAAGACGGAGCCUGUCACCAGUGGCUCUCCUCCCAAGACUGCGUGGUGCUCAGCAGCACGACAGUGUCACCCGAGAAGCACUGAGGGGCCGACAUCUGAGCCAGCUCAGGAUUAGGGUUCAGGGGCCAGGAACCUGCAUCUGGACACUGGCCUCCACCCCCCACCCCAGGGCUCCUACUUGGAGAAACGGUGAAUUCCCUCACCACAGCCCUCAAGAGGGAGCAGGGGACCCUCAUGGCAAAGCCUGCGCACCCCCCGUGAGCAGUGCCCAGGGGGCUGGAGGGGAGAAGACCCCCACCAUACCCUGGAGCCCACCCCCGGUCAAAGAACCCUUGUUCAGCCUUGCAGUGUCCGGGCCGGUAUAGAAGGGAGCAAAUCCCUUUUUGCAAAGAGUACUCAACACACCAUGAGCUUGUCUGUUUACCAAAAUGCAGAGGGAAAGGCCCCAUUUGUGGACAAAGUUGAGACUUGAGCAAAUUUGGAAGACAGGAUAUUUCCUAGAGUGCAGAAAACAGCCCCUCCUUGUUGACAGCGGGUGUCAGCGCUUAAUCGGCACAAACUGUGUUUGAAACAGCAAGCAGAGAAAUCCCAAGAGUCCAAAUCAGGUAGUACUCACCAAACAUCACACACAUCGACCGAGCCGGAGUCUCCCCGGGGAGCGUCGUGACGGAGACUGCCACACCUCAGCCUCUGUGCCUGUCCAGCCAGACGGGCAGCGGUGAGGGGCUGGGGGAGACGCAGCCAGGGGGCCUCAGGCAGACCCGGAGCCAGGCUCUUGCAGCAACGGCGCGUCUGACAACAAGGAUUCAGCCGCCUCGGGGACAACUCCCUGCGACAGAGCAGUCUGGUGCCCGCUGAAAGAUGUCCAGCCGAGAGGCUUUCUAUCCCACCUCCUGUGGCCUGAGGCUGGAGGAGGCUGUGAAAACCCCGGAGAAACCAGGAGGAGGAACCAGGCAGAUUUUUGGGGUGGGAGGGGAUCCGCAACAUUUCCACCACCUCCGUCUGGACUGAAAACCAGCAGCCAGAGGACCUUUCAGUGCAGUCAGGUCUCACACCUCCUCCUAGAAAGGAGGGACUAAAGACCAGUCCCUCACACUCCCGGCCACACCCUGACUCCUCAUCCUGGACAGACAGGCUCCACACACACACCAGGCACACCACUGCCCCAGGGCCUUUGCACAGGCAUCUCCCUCCUCCCAGACAUCCCCAUGGCUCCUCCUUUGCCUCCCGCUCAGGCUUUGAUCAAAUGUCCCCUUCAUCUGGCACUCCACUCCCUGACCAGGCUCUGUCAUUCUGUUUUCCAAGGUAUCCGGCACCUUCUAACUGCAGCGUAAUUCACUGUCUUGUCUGUCAUUGGAAAGCAAGUGCCCGCAGGGCUGGGAUCUGUUUGUUCACCUAGAACAGCGCCUGGCUCACAGCCGGCGCUCAGGAGUGCCUGUUAGAUGAUGAGUGGGACCCGUGAGGCGGCAGCCAGCACCACCCAAUGGCCAGGAUUACGAGGAGCAGCUGACGGGGGCUGGCGGCUCCCCACCCACUGUGUCCCACCCUGGCCCGCUGAUAGCAGAACUGACAUUUGUCACCCACUCUCCACCUCGGGCAGCGCUGCUCACUGUCCUGCCCUUCCUUUGCCACUCCCAGGGGGUCUGUGAAAGGUCAGGCAUGUGACGUCCACACCUCUGAUGGAGAAAAGACCUUUCAGACAAAGAGAGAUGUCAAAGCCAGCAUGCCACCCAGCCGUCGCCCAGAGAUGACCCGCUGCCCCACUGCCAAGGGAUAGGCCAGCCUCCGCUGGCUCUUCAAUGGGGCGGGGGCAGCCCUCACCUCCCUACCGGCCCCGGCCAGCAGCUCUGUCCUGGGUCCAGCCCGUUGCCGGGAGUUAAACACGGGGCUCUCCAGGAGAGACCGGCACAGAUUCCGGGUGUCAGUUCCCAAAAUGCCGCCAGAGGAAGUAGCAGGACAGAACGGAGGACGCCCUCCCCAAGACGCUGGCGUCCACCUUGCUUAUAAUUUUGAAAAGGUGGAACUGCCAACUGUCCUUUGAUGAGAGAGGGUCAAAGGAGUCAUGAUAGAGGUCUCCACAAGAGUCAAACACCGCCAGUAAAUUUGUGUGAAUUGAUGUGGAAAACAGCCCAAGAUACAUCAUGAGUGACAAGGGCAGGUGGUGGCGUGGUCCGUUGUGUGAUGGAGGCCCCAGGUGAACAGAGACACUGGGGGACCACGGCUGGGGGUCACCCCUCUCCUAUGACUCUCUCUGCUGCAGCAGCUGUGUGUGACGACACGGCAUUGGCGUGUGACCGGUGACCUGGAGAGCCCGUGCCUCGCAGGCUCUGUGGGGGACGCCCCAUUGUCAGCCACGUUGGUGCGAGCCCUGGGUCGGGGACAAGCAGAGUGUUCACAGGACACCUCCCUCUGGGGUGGGUGGGGCUCCUGGGUCCUGGGAGCCAGGCUCUUCCU
ensembl:lncRNA